rnacentral:rRNA from 1 species
GAUGAACGCUGGCGGCGUGCUUAACACAUGCAAGUCGUACGAUGAAGCCCAGCUUGCUGGGUGGAUUAGUGGCGAACGGGUGAGUAACACGUGAGUAACCUGCCCUUAACUCUGGGAUAAGCCUGGGAAACUGGGUCUAAUACCGGAUAGGAGCGUCCACCGCAUGGUGGGUGUUGGAAAGAUUUAUCGGUUUUGGAUGGACUCGCGGCCUAUCAGCUUGUUGGUGAGGUAAUGGCUCACCAAGGCGACGACGGGUAGCCGGCCUGAGAGGGUGACCGGCCACACUGGGACUGAGACACGGCCCAGACUCCUACGGGAGGCAGCAGUGGGGAAUAUUGCACAAUGGGCGCAAGCCUGAUGCAGCGACGCCGCGUGAGGGAUGACGGCCUUCGGGUUGUAAACCUCUUUCAGUAGGGAAGAAGCGAAAGUGACGGUACCUGCAGAAGAAGCACCGGCUAACUACGUG